rnacentral:lncRNA from 10 species
CCAGAUCUACAGCAUCCAGUGUUGUACUGCCCCCUUCUGGCCAUCCUCUAGGUGCUUCCUGAGGCCCCAGGACUUGUGCCCCAGUAUACAGUCUGGUGGCCAGCAUGGCAUCGUGCUCAGCAGAACUUCUCCCUCCUCCUCGCUGUUGUGGUCCAGUCCAAACAUCCCAGCCCCAACAUUCCCUGGUUCCCCAGCUCUGUGACAUCACAGACAGCCUUCUGUCUACUCUGCCAGCUGCAGAUUUGCUGCUUCAGAAGGAUGAGCUUGACAGACAAAAUCCCAAGCGCAUUAACGCAGUCUCCCAUUUGCCUUCGAGAACACCCCUGAUCCAGACAAAAAAGAGCACUUCCUCCAGCAGCAGUGAGUUUGAGGAUCUGAAUGCAUAUGCUUCCCAAAGAAAUUUUUACAAGAGAAACUUAAACCGCUACUGCCAGGAGCACUGGCCAUUCCAGCCAUGCCUCACUGGGAGGCCCUGAGCAUUCUAGCCGGCGGCUGCACAGCUGCUGGGGCAUCUCCAUGAGGAAGAGGGCGGUGGACAGGAGUCAUGAAGACUAAUUCGGAAACUCCCCUGAAGGAGGAGAAGACAUCUGAGCCAUCCUUGUGCCACCAAGCAAGAGUCACUCCAGCUCCUAAAAAGCCACCAUGGGAAGAGCUGCCUCCAAUUAAAGUUCUUGAUUGCACCAGAGGAUGUGUCCUUCUCUUUUCCUUUCCCCCUUACCAACUAAUGUCUUAUUAUUUUUAAAUAUAUUGUCACAUCUAACUAAGCUUAAAAAAUUUAGCCUAUUGGCUGGGCGCAGUGGCUCACGCCUGUAAUCCCAACACUUUGGGAGACCGAGGCAGGUGGAUCACAUGAGGUCAUAAGUUCAAGACCAGCCUGGCCAAUGCGGUGAAACCCCAUCUGUGCUAAAAAUAAAAAAAUCUGCCAGGUGUGGUGGCGUGCUCCUGUAAUCUCAGCUACUAGGGAGGCUGAGGCAGGAGAAUCACUUGAACCCAGGAGGCAGAGGUUGCAAUGAGCUGAGAUCUCGCCGCUGCACUCCAGCCUGGGUAACAGAGUGAGACUCCGUGAAAGAAAGAAAGGAAGGGAAGGGGGAAGGGGGAAGGGAAGAAAGAAAAAAGAGAGAGAGAGGAAGGAGAAAACAGCUUUUUGGAUACCUUCUGAAAUAAUUCCAAAUUUACAGAAAUGUCACAAGAAUAAUACAGAGAACUCCCAUUUAC